AUGAUUUCCCGUCUUUCUUAUAUGCAGAGAAACAGAAAGGCUAUAUAUAUACAUACCAAGCAACCAGUUUAUUCUGAUCCAACACCACCAAGAAAGAAAUGCUUAUUUGGCAAAAAUCUUACAAGCAUUUAUGUCGACAGAAAGCUGCCUGCUCCAAAACUUGACUUCAUUGCAAACAUUGAAGGAAGUUUACUUACUUCUGACUUACAAGAGAAUUGGCUUAGCGUCCCAGAUGAAGGAACUCUGGUUGGAAAAAUUAAUGCCAUCCAAAGGUAAUGAUACAGAAAGCACUUGCAGAACUGUACCAAUGUAGAAGCAGUGUUUUUGUAAGGUACAUAGGCUUGUGUUUACAGAAUUAUAAGCUGGAGUGAUGUCCCAUGCCAAGAGGUUUCCUUAGCAAUGACACGUAUUGUCACUUUUUAAACAUGUUCAUUUCUCAAACUAGAAUGUUGAACCAUGUCUGUAAUCAC
rnacentral:lncRNA from 1 species